rnacentral:rRNA from 1 species
AUCGAACGCUGGCGGCAGGCCUAACACAUGCAAGUCGAACGAGUGGCGGACGGGUGAGUAAUGUCUGGGAAACUGCCUGAUGGAGGGGGAUAACUACUGGAAACGGUAGCUAAUACCGCAUACCAUCGGAUGUGCCCAGAUGGGAUUAGCUAGUGGGUGGGGUAAAGGCUAACCAAGGCGACGAUCCCUCGCUGGUCUGAGAGGAUGACCGGCCACACUGGAACUUAGACACGGUCCAGAGUCCUACGGGAGGCAGCAUUGGGGAAUAUUGCACAAUGGGCGCAAGCCUGAUGCAGCCAUGCCGCGUGUAUGAAGAAGGGCUUCGGGUUGUAAAGUACUUUCAGCGGGGAGGCGUUAUCCGCAGAAGAAGCCCCGGCUAACUCCGUGCCAGCAGCCGCGGUAAUUC